UCCCGAGCUUCCGUCGUCGGCCUUGGCAUUAAACCACUAUCUAUGCAUGUAUUUUCAGCCUGGACUGACGAAUCUUUUGCUUCUCGGGUGGUGUCGAACAAUGGUGCUUGCGUUGCGGGAGAUGCCCGCCCGUAGGGUCCGGCCUGCUUCCCGCCCAAUAAUCCCAGGGGCUUUCACUUCAACACGUCUUCGCUCGUGAUCGCUUAGGUAUCUAUCAAUUCGAUCAAAUAGACUGAGCAAUUGUCACUGUUUAUAGAUAUUGAAAUGAAC
rnacentral:lncRNA from 1 species